GAUAUAUAAUAAGUGUGGGUGCACUUAAUAUGAAAGAGGUAAAUUAUGGUUGAACAGACAUAAAACACAAAAGUCCAGGUUUUGUUUUGAUCAGAACUUGUACAAUUUUCUCUGUCCUUAACAGGUUAAUGAAAGCCUGCAUUGCAAAGUGCAUGAAUCCAAAUAGACAGAUAAUUAUUGUUCAUACUGGACUAUACAUUUUGUGUAAAUCCCCCUGCAGUUCAGUAAAAAAAUGUUUUAGAAAACUCAGCUAAUAUUUAGAAGAUGAUAGGAAAGUUGCAAAAUAUUCAGUGAUUAGUUGAAAUGAUGUAUAUG